rnacentral:rRNA from 1 species
AAUGAACGCUGGCGGCGUGGAUUAGGCAUGCAAGUCGAACGCGAAAGUUCCCUUCGGGGAGCGAGUAGAGUGGCGAAAGGGUGAGUAAUGCUUGGAUGACCUGCCCUCGAGACGGGGACAACAGUUCGAAAGGACUGCUAAUACCCGAUAGUCCGGUUUAGAUGCGUCUAGAUCGGUAAAUGGUGCUUCCGCUCGAGGAGGGGUUCAAGUCCUAUCAGCUUGUUGGUGAGGUAACGGCUCACCAAGGCGAUGACGGGUAGCCGGACUGAGAGGUUGGCCGGCCACAUGGGAACUGAGACACUGUCCUGACUCCUACGGGAGGCUGCAGUCGGGAAUUUUGGGCAAUGGGCGAAAGCCUGACCCAGCAACGCCGCGUGAAGGAUGAAGUAUUUCGGUAUGUAAACUUCGAAAGUAUGGGAAGAAUAAAUGACGGUACCAUACAUAAGCUCCGGCUAACUACGUG